UGGCCUCAGCCCUUAGCUGUGGGCCCUCGACUCCAUCCUGCAUCUCCCUCUCAAGGUGUGUUCUCAGGAGCUGUCCGGGCACCAUCUUCGCGUCUGAUUCCAGGACGUUUGCUUGUAAACAGCAAUUUUUGAAACCACCUCUGGGCUGCUGCAGCUGUGAGGUUCUGGGACUUCUGACAAGUUGGCAUAAGUUAUCAGUUCUUACGACGUUAAUCUACUGGGUCUUCGCCUGAAGGUAUAACUGAAUCAAGAGUGCAGGAGAUGAGCUUGCAGGGCUGUGCCGGGAUGAAGAACGAUAAGCCUCGCCCCUGGUAUGUAU